rnacentral:rRNA from 1 species
GCCAUGCAUGUCUAAGUAUAAGCAAUUAUACAGCGAAACUGCGAAUGGCUCAUUAAAUCAGUUAUCGUUUAUUUGAUAGUACCUUACUACAUGGAUAACCGUGGUAAUUCUAGAGCUAAUACAUGCUGAAAACCCCGACUUCGGAAGGGGUGUAUUUAUUAGAUUAAAAACCAAUGCCCUUCGGGGCUCACUGGUGAUUCAUGAUAACUUCUCGAAUCGCACGGCCUUGCGCCGGCGAUGGUUCAUUCAAAUUUCUGCCCUAUCAACUUUCGACGGCUGGGUCUUGGCCAGCCGUGGUGACAACGGGUAACGGAGGGUUAGGGCUCGACCCCGGAGAAAACGCCUGAGAAACGGCGUUUACAUCCAAGGAAGGCAGCAGGCGCGCAAAUUACCCAAUGCCGACACGGCGAGGUAGUGACGAGAAAUACUGAUACAGGGCUCUUUUGGGUCUUGUAAUUGGAAUGAGUACAAUUUAAAUCUCUUAACGAGGAACAAUUGGAGGGCAAGUCUGGUGAACGUUCCAGUUCCAAUGCUGGUGCCAGAGAUAGCGGUCAAACGCCCACGCUAGUCGAGCAUCCGCCAAAUCAGCGGGAGGAUGCCGGCGAGACAACCUGGAUCGGGGGACGCUAAAGGUGCCUUCGGGCGCUAUGCCAAUCCCGAGCGGAGCCCCCAGCGGGCCCGUGUAGAGCGCGCAAAGGUGUCGGUCCGGCUCUCUCGAGCCGGGCUUAAGGUACGUGCCGAUCCCCCGCGAAAGCGGGGCCGCGUCCAAGAGUGCCCGCUGCACGAAUGGGCGCGGGGUGGGGAGCCUUCAGGGCCCCUCACUCGCUAGAGAAAAAACACAUGGCCAGCAGCCGCGGUAAUUCCAGCUCCAAUAGCGUAUAUUAAAGUUGUUGCAGUUAAAAAGCUCGUAGUUGAACCUUGGGCCUGGCUGGCCGGUCCGCCUCACCGCGUGCACUGGUCCGGCCGGGCCUUUCCCUCUGGGGAGCCCCAUGCCCUUUACUGGG